CAGAAACCAAACGGACCACUAGCGAGCUACAACUCUGCCACGGCUACACUUUACACACUCAUGUACUCCUCCACCACCUCACUCGCCAGCGCACUCACACACAGACGCGUGCGUGCGGAGAGAGGAAGUAAAAAUAUGAAGACAAAAAAAAGCAAGUGCAUCUCACCAUGACAAUGGCGGAACCAUAAAAACACAUGUUCCCAUCUCGAAUCGAACUGAAUUCGGCGGCCAGCUCCUUCACAAAAUAAAAUAAUACAGACAAAAAAUCUGUAUACGCGCAAAAGUUGAGCUGCUAAAACAUGGAAACCUUGCAGUUAUCGAUUCGUCUCGCUCAUUGCGCAAUGAAAAAAAUGCAGCGGGGGCGGAGGAUACGAGAGAGCCUCUCUCUUUGUGAGACACCUGCAGCGAUAGGAAAUGCAAAUCCGCCUUCCACUUUCCAGCUCGAAAGUUCAAAGUUCACAUGCAACUAACUAGCUACUGGGUGCAGCGCAUGUCCGAGGUGCACCAAAGUCCCUGGACCAAACAAAAAAAUGGCACAAACCAAACUCUCCGACUUCCAGGCGCCGCAGGAAGAUCUGUCAUGGAAUGCGGCACUAGGAAAUAUUAACUGACGCUGAUCAAGUGAUAUCUGAAAUGUGGUAAAGAGGUUCCUGUCACACGGACCCAUUUCUAUAAAAAAAACUAAUUAGUUUGAUAUUCGUACGUGUUCUGCAAAUUAUCAGAUGUUUUUAACUCUCUUGAGUCACAUGAUAUUUAAUGUGAUAAAAACUUUUUGUUAUUUAUUGUUUGUUUGUCCUAAAAAAUUGACAACACAGUAAAUGGAAAACUUUACUAUAAAAU
rnacentral:lncRNA from 1 species